rnacentral:rRNA from 1 species
UACGGGGGGGGCAAGCGUUGUUCGGAAUUACUGGGCGUAAAGGGCUCGUAGGCGGCCAACUAAGUCAGACGUGAAAUCCCUCGGCUUAACCGGGGAACUGCAUCUGAUACUGGAUGGCUUGAGUUCGGGAGAGGGAUGCGGAAUUCCAGGUGUAGCGGUGAAAUGCGUAGAUAUCUGGAGGAACACCGGUGGCGAAGGCGGCAUCCUGGACCGAGACUGACGCUGAGGAGCGAAAGCCAGGGGAGCAAACGGG